CGGGUUACUGCCUUGAUUCCCAAUGUGUUCAAUGAGUCCUUUAAUGCUAGUGACAAAGCAAAUAGGUCCACGGGGCAAGAACAAUGCAGUCAGGACAUUGACUGGUUGAAACGUCGUCUUAUUGGUAAUGUUAAAAAGGUGUAUAGUUUGGAAAUGGUCCAAAAAGCUUUGUUAAGCGAGAAUAUCAAGUGCAAAGUUUGUCCAUGGGGUGGACCAUCCUCUAUUUUAGCCAUUGAUUCAUCCAACGACUUGGAAGAUGUAUGGGAAUGAAAGAAAGACGAGCUUUUGAAUUGGUUUGAUUAUCUAUCACGUUUUAAUGCUGAAGAACAAGAUCCAGAGAUGUUUGUUAGUUGAUGUCCCUUUACGUUGUUGGAAUGAAAGCUUUUUUAGGUCUCUCGGUGAUCAGCGGGAGCAUUUUGUGAGCCUAGAUCCUGACACUAGAGAUCGAAAUCGCCUUAACGUAGCUAAGAUGGUUGUUAAAGUGGUUAGUAAGGCUUGUAUUCCCCAUCAUGCUUAUGUAGUCAGUAAAGGUACUCAAUUGAGGUAGAGGACUCAUCCCUUAUUAGAUCGAUGAGGGGAGUCAGGUGCAGUUUGCAGACGUAUGGCUUGAGAUGGAGCCCUAAUUGGCCCCCUUUCCAAUUUCGUUGCUGCAUCUUUGGUGCUGUCGGUUUUGAUUACUAUGUUUACUUCCC
rnacentral:lncRNA from 1 species